UACGAAGGGGGCUAGCGUUGUUCGGAAUCACUGGGCGUAAAGGGCGCGUAGGCGGCUUGUUAAGUCAGGGGUGAAAUCCUGGAGCUCAACUCCAGAACUGCCUUUGAUACUGGCGAGCUUGAGUCCGGGAGAGGUGAGUGGAACUGCGAGUGUAGAGGUGAAAUUCGUAGAUAUUCGCAAGAACACCAGUGGCGAAGGCGGCUCACUGGCCCGGUACUGACGCUGAGGUGCGAAAGCGUGGGGAGCAAACAGG
rnacentral:rRNA from 1 species